rnacentral:rRNA from 1 species
UACAGAGGUGGCAAGCGUUGUUCGGAAUUACUGGGCGUAAAGGGCGCGUAGGCGGCUUGGUCAGUCCCGUGUGAAAUCCCUCGGCUCAACUGAGGAACUGCACGGGAAACUGCCUGGCUUGAGUUCGGGAGAGGGAAGCGGAAUUCCGGGUGUAGCGGUGGAAUGCGUAGAGAUCCGGAAGAAUACCGGUGGCGAAGGCGGCCUGCUGGGCAGUGGCUGACACUGAGGCGCGACAGCGUGGGGAGCAAACAGG